rnacentral:rRNA from 1 species
AGUCACUGACAUUAGAUACCCGCGUAGUCCCAGCCGUAAACUAUGCUCGCUAGGUGUCAGGCAUGGCGCGACCGUGUCUGGUGCCGCAGGGAAGCCGUGAAGCGAGCCACCUGGGAAGUACGGCCGCAAGGCUGAAACUUAAAGGAAAUUGGCGGGGGAGGCACAACAACGGGUGGAGCCUGCGGUUUAAUUGGACUCAACGCCGGACAACUCACCGGGAACGACAGCAAUAUGUAGGCCAGGCUGAAGACCUUGCCUGAAUCGCUG